rnacentral:rRNA from 1 species
CAGUAGCCGCGGUAAUACGUAGGUGGCAAGCGUUGUCCGGAAUUAUUGGGCGUAAAGGGCUCGCAGGCGGUUUCUUAAGUCUGAUGUGAAAGCCCCCGGCUCAACCGGGGAGGGUCAUUGGAAACUGGGAAACUUGAGUGCAGAAGAGGAGAGUGGAAUUCCACGUGUAGCGGUGAAAUGCGUAGAGAUGUGGAGGAACACCAGUGGCGAAGGCGACUCUCUGGUCUGUAACUGACGCUGAGGAGCGAAAGCGCGGGGAGCGAACAGGAUUAGAUACCCCGGUAGUCCCUGUCUCUUAUAC